UACGUAGGCAGCGAGCGUUGUUCGGAAUUACUGGGCGUAAAGAGUGUGUAGGCGGUGCUCUAAGUUCGGUGUGAAAUCUCCCGGCUUAACUGGGAGGGUGCGCCGGAAACUGGAGUGCUCGAGCGUGGAGAGGAAAGCGGAAUUCCUGGUGUAGCGGUGAAAUGCGUAGAUAUCAGGAGGAACACCUGCGGUGUAGACGGCUUUCUGGACCAUUGCUGACGCUGAGACACGAAAGCGUGGGUAGCAAACAGG
rnacentral:rRNA from 1 species